GCUGUACUGAUCGUGCAAAUUCUAACAAACCUAUGUAAGGAGCUCUUUGUGUUUAAUAAAGUAUCAUAGGGAAUUUAUGCAGUAUCUUUCAUAUUCAGUAUAUGCUGUCUGUUUUGGAAAAAUUUCCCCCCCCCCUUUUUUUCUCCUUAGUGGGAAAUUUACAUGAAUAUUGACUGGAAUCAUAUUAAAUAUGAGCUGAGUUAGUACUUCAUGAUAGGAUGAGCUGUCUGCUAAUUUCCAUGUGCCAAAGUAUUUUUGUGUUCUCUCAUUCCCUUUUAUAGUUGUUAUAUCUAUGACUAAAUUAUCAGAUAUUAAAAAACUGUCCAGCUUUGUAUUCAUGGAUGAAAAUAAUACUUGUAUCAAAUAAAAAUCACUGUACCUUAACAGGCAAGAGAGGUGACCCAACUCUUCUGCUUGGUAUACGUGGUCAAAAAGGGCCUCCUGGAGACCCAGGAUUAACAGGAUUCUGUGGGUUACCUGGAGAGAAGGGUUCAGCAGGUAUCCAAGGACAACCUGGAAGACUAGGAUCCAAGGGCGAGUCUGGAUACCCAGGAAUACCUGGAUUUCCAGGAGCUCCAGGUCCUCCAGGAUUGCCAGGAGAACCUGGAGAAAAAGGGAAACAAGGACUUUUGGGACCUCCAGGAUUGCAAGGAUUAGCUGGAUCGCAGGGCAGGAAAGGUAAACAGCAUACGGUGUAGUUCUACUGGUAAUGUGACAUCACCAUAUAUUAAUACCAUAUAAAAAAUAACAAUACCUCACAAAAUUGGACUAUGAUCCAGAAUGAGUCAAGAAGAAGAAAGAAACAGAUUCUGGCUCUCC
rnacentral:lncRNA from 1 species